rnacentral:rRNA from 1 species
UACGUAGGUGACCAGCGUUGUCCGGAUUUACUGGGCGUAAAGAGCGCGCAGGCGGUCGUUCAAGUCGAGUGUGAAAGCCCCCGGCUCAACUGGGGAGGGUCACUCGAUACUGAUCGACUUGAAGGCAGGAGAGGGAAGCGGAAUUCCCGGUGUAGUGGUGAAAUGCGUAGAUAUCGGGAGGAACACCAGUGGCGAAGGCGGCUUCCUGGCCUGUUCUUGACGCUGAGGCGCGAAAGCUAGGGGAGCAAACGGGG